CGGGGUGAGGAACGCGUGGGCAAUCUGCCCUGAGGUGGGGGGUAGCCCUCGGAAACGAGGGGUAAUUCCGCAUGUGCUCGCCGGCCGGUGGGGCUGGUGUAGGAAAGGGUCUUUCGGGACUCGCCUUGGGAGGAGCCUGCGGCCGAUUAGCUUGUUGGUGGGGUAACGGCUCACCAAGGCAGUGAUCGGCAGCUGGUCUGAGAGGACGGCCAGCCACAUGGGGACUGAGACACGACCCCA
rnacentral:rRNA from 1 species